rnacentral:rRNA from 1 species
AGAGUUUGAUCCUGGCUCAGAUUGAACGCUGGCGGCAUGCUUUACACAUGCAAGUCGGACGGCAGCACAGAGAAGCUUGCUUCUUGGGUGGCGAGUGGCGAACGGGUGAGUAAUAUAUCGGAACGUACCGAGUAAUGGGGGAUAACUAAUCGAAAGAUUAGCUAAUACCGCAUAUUCUCUGAGGAGGAAAGCAGGGGACCUUCGGGCCUUGCGUUAUUCGAGCGGCCGAUAUCUGAUUAGCUAGUUGGUGGGGUAAAGGCCUACCAAGGCGACGAUCAGUAGCGGGUCUGAGAGGAUGAUCCGCCACACUGGGACUGAGACACGGCCCAGACUCCUACGGGAGGCAGCAGUGGGGAAUUUUGGACAAUGGGCGCAAGCCUGAUCCAGCCAUGCCGCGUGUCUGAAGAAGGCCUUCGGGUUGUAAAGGACUUUUGUCAGGGAAGAAAAGGCUGUUGCUAAUACCGACAGCUGAUGACGGUACCUGAAGAAUAAGCACCGGCUAACUACGUGCCAGCAGCCGCGGUAAUACGUAGGGUGCGAGCGUUAAUCGGAAUUACUGGGCGUAAAGAGUUGCGUAGGCGGUUUAAUAAGUGAAUAGUGAAACCUGGUGGCUCAACCAUACAGACUAUUAUUCAAACUGUUAAACUCGAGAAUGGUAGAGGUAACUGGAAUUUCUAGUGUAGGAGUGAAAUCCGUAGAUAUUAGAAGGAACACCGAUGGCGUAGGCAGGUUACUGGGCCAUUUCUGACGCUAAGGCACGAAAGCGUGGGGAGCGAACCGGAUUAGAUACCCGGGUAGUCCACGCCGUAAACGAUGGAUACUAGCUGUUGGAGGUAUCGACCCCUUCAGUAGCGAAGCUAACGCGUUAAGUAUCCCGCCUGUGGAGUACGGCCGCAAGGCUAAAACAUAAAGGAAUUGACGGGGACCCGCACAAGCGGUGGAUUAUGUUCUUUAAUUCGAUGAUAACCGAAGAACCUUACCAGGGCUUGACAUCCAGGGAAGGUCUGCGAAAGUAGACUGUGCCUUUUGGAACCCUGUGGCAGGUGAUGCAUGGCCGUCGUCAGCUCGUGUCGUGAGAUGUUAGGUUAAGUCCUUCAACGAGCGCAACCCUUGUGAAUAGUUGUAUUUUUCUAUUCAGACUGCCCCGGUAACGGGGAGGAAGGAGGGGAUGAUGUCAGGUCAGUAUUUCCCUUACGUCCUGGGCUAGAAACGUAAUACAAUGGCUAGUACAAUGCGCAGCGAAGCCGCGAGGUGAAGCAAAUCGCAUCAAAGCUAGUCCCAGUUCGGAUUGUAGGCUGAAACUCGCCUGCAUGAAGUCGGAAUCGCUAGUAAUCGCAAAUCAGCAAGUUGCGGUGAAUACGUUCCCGGGUCUGUACACACCGCCCGUCA